AGAGGCGAUGAAGGACGUGCUAAUCUGCGAUAAGCGUCGGUAAGGUGAUAUGAACCGUUAUAACCGGCGAUUUCCGAAUGGGGAAACCCAGUGUGAUUCGUCACACUAUCAUUAACUGAAUCCAUAGGUUAAUGAGGCGAACCGGGGGAACUGAAACAUCUAAGUACCCCGAGGAAAAGAAAUCAACCGAGAUUCCCCCAGUAGCGGCGAGCGAACGGGGAGGAGCCCAGAGCCUGAAUCAGUGUGUGUGUUAGUGGAAGCGUCUGGAAAGGCGCGCGAUACAGGGUGACAGCCCCGUACACAAAAAUGCACAUACUGUGAGCUCGAUGAGUAGGGCGGGACACGUGGUAUCCUGUCUGAAUAUGGGGGGACCAUCCUCCAAGGCUAAAUACUCCUGACUGACCGAUAGUGAACCAGUACCGUGAGGGAAAGGCGAAAAGAACCCCGGCGAGGGGAGUGAAAAAGAACCUGAAACCGUGUACGUACAAGCAGUGGGAGCACAGAGCAAUCUGUGUGACUGCGUACCUUUUGUAUAAUGGGUCAGCGACUUAUAUUCUGUAGCAAGGUUAACCGAAUAGGGGAGCCGAAGGGAAACCGAGUCUUAACUGGGCGUUAAGUUGCAGGGUAUAGACCCGAAACCCGGUGAUCUAGCCAUGGGCAGGUUGAAGGUUGGGUAACACUAACUGGAGGACCGAACCGACUAAUGUUGAAAAAUUAGCGGAUGACUUGUGGCUGGGGGUGAAAGGCCAAUCAAACCGGGAGAUAGCUGGUUCUCCCCGAAAGCUAUUUAGGUAGCGCCUCGUGAAUUCAUCUCCGGGGGUAGAGCACUGUUUCGGCAAGGGGGUCAUCCCGACUUACCAACCCGAUGCAAACUGCGAAUACCGGAGAAUGUUAUCACGGGAGACACACGGCGGGUGCUAACGUCCGUCGUGAAGAGGGAAACAACCCAGACCGCCAGCUAAGGUCCCAAAGUCAUGGUUAAGUGGGAAACGAUGUGGGAAGGCCCAGACAGCCAGGAUGUUGGCUUAGAAGCAGCCAUCAUUUAAAGAAAGCGUAAUAGCUCACUGGUCGAGUCGGCCUGCGCGGAAGAUGUAACGGGGCUAAACCAUGCACCGAAGCUGCGGCAGCGACGCUGAUGCGUUGUUGGGUAGGGGAGCGUUCUGUAAGCCUGUGAAGGUGUGCUGUGAGGCAUGCUGGAGGUAUCAGAAGUGCGAAUGCUGACAUAAGUAACGAUAAAGCGGGUGAAAAGCCCGCUCGCCGGAAGACCAAGGGUUCCUGUCCAACGUUAAUCGGGGCAGGGUGAGUCGACCCCUAAGGCGAGGCCGAAAGGCGUAGUCGAUGGGAAACAGGUUAAUAUUCCUGUACUUGGUGUUACUGCGAAGGGGGGACGGAGAAGGCUAUGUUGGCCGGGCGACGGUUGUCCCGGUUUAAGCGUGUAGGCUGGUUUUCCAGGCAAAUCCGGAAAAUCAAGGCUGAGGCGUGAUGACGAGGCACUACGGUGCUGAAGCAACAAAUGCCCUGCUUCCAGGAAAAGCCUCUAAGCAUCAGGUAACAUCAAAUCGUACCCCAAACCGACACAGGUGGUCAGGUAGAGAAUACCAAGGCGCUUGAGAGAACUCGGGUGAAGGAACUAGGCAAAAUGGUGCCGUAACUUCGGGAGAAGGCACGCUGAUAUGUAGGUGAAGUCCCUCGCGGAUGGAGCUGAAAUCAGUCGAAGAUACCAGCUGGCUGCAACUGUUUAUUAAAAACACAGCACUGUGCAAACACGAAAGUGGACGUAUACGGUGUGACGCCUGCCCGGUGCCGGAAGGUUAAUUGAUGGGGUCAGCGCAAGCGAAGCUCUUGAUCGAAGCCCCGGUAAACGGCGGCCGUAACUAUAACGGUCCUAAGGUAGCGAAAUUCCUUGUCGGGUAAGUUCCGACCUGCACGAAUGGCGUAAUGAUGGCCAGGCUGUCUCCACCCGAGACUCAGUGAAAUUGAACUCGCUGUGAAGAUGCAGUGUACCCGCGGCAAGACGGAAAGACCCCGUGAACCUUUACUAUAGCUUGACACUGAACAUUGAGCCUUGAUGUGUAGGAUAGGUGGGAGGCUUUGAAGUGUGGACGCCAGUCUGCAUGGAGCCGACCUUGAAAUACCACCCUUUAAUGUUUGAUGUUCUAACGUUGACCCGUGAUCCGGGUUGCGGACAGUGUCUGGUGGGUAGUUUGACUGGGGCGGUCUCCUCCUAAAGAGUAACGGAGGAGCACGAAGGUUGGCUAAUCCUGGUCGGACAUCAGGAGGUUAGUGCAAUGGCAUAAGCCAGCUUGACUGCGAGCGUGACGGCGCGAGCAGGUGCGAAAGCAGGUCAUAGUGAUCCGGUGGUUCUGAAUGGAAGGGCCAUCGCUCAACGGAUAAAAGGUACUCCGGGGAUAACAGGCUGAUACCGCCCAAGAGUUCAUAUCGACGGCGGUGUUUGGCACCUCGAUGUCGGCUCAUCACAUCCUGGGGCUGAAGUAGGUCCCAAGGGUAUGGCUGUUCGCCAUUUAAAGUGGUACGCGAGCUGGGUUUAGAACGUCGUGAGACAGUUCGGUCCCUAUCUGCCGUGGGCGCUGGAGAACUGAGGGGGGCUGCUC
rnacentral:rRNA from 1 species